rnacentral:rRNA from 1 species
AUGGGCGACGACGGCGCGAAGGCGGCCACGACGACGAUCGUGCGCCUGCGGGAGCUGCUGCACAAGUGGGCGCUCGGUGCCAGGGGCGACGCCGACGACGGCGAGGAGGAGGAGGAGACGCACGCGCCGGCGGCGGGGGCGGGGGCGGGAGCGGGAGGUGCGCCGCCGUCGAUCCCGCCGUUCGUGCUGCGGCGGCUGACGAGGACGGUGACGGUGGACUCGGACGACGAGGGCUGCCACAGCCCGGAGGCGGCGCCGGACGUGCCCAGGGGGUACUGCCCGGUGUACGUGGGGCCGGAGCAGCGGCGGUUCGUGAUCCCGACCAGCUAUCUGGGGCACCCCGUCUUCCGGCUCCUCCUGGAGAAGGCCGAGGAGGAGUUCGGGUUCCGGCACGAGGGCGCGCUGGCCAUCCCCUGCGAGACCGAGGCCUUCAAGUACAUCCUCCAGUGCGUCGAGCGCCACGACAAGGGCCUCGCCGCCGACGACGUCGACGUCGACGAAGAAGCGAACCUGCGCAGUGUGCUAGAGCCAGCGUCGUCAAUUCGUCAUGUUUCGUAG